GCGCCAAGUAGCCUGUAGUCCGUUCGAGAUACUGGUGUGUGAAGUCUGAACUGAUGUCUGCCUUAUUCUGCCGUCUGCUGCUCUCGUUCAACAUGUAACAGUUUUCUGUUUCUGCUUUAUGAUUCAAUUAUAUCCUCAGUGACAACAAUAAUUUUGAGCGAACAUUUUAGAAAAUAAGACAACUUUCAUUGCACUUAAAAAGAUUUUGGCAAUCAAUCUGCGCAUCUUUCCCUGAUCGUUUCAGACAGUCCUGUUCGUGGGUCGUGGCAGGUAUCCGCAUGCGUCGUCCUCAAGCAAUUGAUGCCGUGAGCUGUUCUCAGAUUUUUAAAUAGGCUUACCUUUUAUAUUUUAUCUGGACAUGUUAUUUCUCUCAAAGGCCCGCGGCAUUUGAAGGUUGGGCUCCUGUUGAGGGUGGUCAGAGAUAGAGUCACACCACUAGGUGUACUACCGAGAAGAGUGGCCAAGUUCCAAUACGCGGCCUGGUGUAUCUAGGUAGGGUGGUCCAGCCCAGGCUCCAGGCUAUGUCUCCCAGGCUGUGGGAGAGCUAUUCCAUGCUGAGUUGAAAGGGACCUGCUUGGCUGGGAAAUACGGGAACAGACAUGGGGCUGGGACAGUCCAACAAGGCUCCUGUCACCGAUGACACAGAGGAGAGUGAGUAAUGACCAAUGACUGUAUAUGAAUGGACAAAGCCAUCGAUCACAUGACACCAUUCAUUCCUAUGUGAAGACUCAAUAUCGCAUUGAAGCCAAAUGAAGUCGGUUAAGAUGGGGUCUUAUGAGACAUGACAUGCUCAUUUUGAGCUACUCCGGGAAGUGACUUUGAAGGCUACCUUAGUGCUGCUCCUACUCAUUGAGUAACUAAAUUAUCCUUAUAACUUCUUCUAUGUGCGAUUUUAAAAUAAUCUGUUCAAGAAGGACAUACACUGAGUGUACAAACAUUCCAUGACAUAGACUGACCAGGUGAAUCCAGGUCAAAGCAAUGAUCCCUUAUUGAUGUCACAUGUUAAAUCCACUUCAAUCAGCGUAGAUGAAGGUGAGGAGACAGGUUAAAGAAGGAUUUUAAGCCUUGAGACAGUUGAGACAUGGAUUGUGUAU
rnacentral:lncRNA from 1 species